rnacentral:rRNA from 1 species
UGGGGAAUUUUGGACAAUGGGCGAAAGCCUGAUCCAGCAAUGCCGCGUGUGUGAAGAAGGCCUUCGGGUUGUAAAGCACUUUUGUCCGGAAAGAAAUCCUUGGCUCUAAUACAGUCGGGGGAUGACGGUACCGGAAGAAUAAGCACCGGCUAACUACGUGCCAGCAGCCGCGGUAAUACGUAGGGUGCAAGCGUUAAUCGGAAUUACUGGGCGUAAAGCGUGCGCAGGCGGUUUGCUAAGACCGAUGUGAAAUCCCCGGGCUCAACCUGGGAACUGCAUUGGUGACUGGCAGGCUAGAGUAUGGCAGAGGGGGGUAGAAUUCCACGUGUAGCAGUGAAAUGCGUAGAGAUGUGGAGGAAUACCGAUGGCGAAGGCAGCCCCCUGGGCCAAUACUGACGCUCAUGCACGAAAGCGUGGGGAGCAAACAGGAUUAGAUACCCUGGUAGUCCACGCCCUAAACGAUGUCAACUAGUUGUUGGGGAUUCAUUUCCUUAGUAACGUAGCUAACGCGUGAAGUUGACCGCCUGGGGAGUACGGUCGCAAGAUUAAAACUUAAAUGAAUUGACGGGGUC